rnacentral:misc_RNA from 1 species
GAUGAAGAACGCAGCGAAAUGCGAUAAGUAAUGCGAAUUGCAGAAUUCAGUGAGUCAUCGAAUCUUUGAACGCACAUUGCGCCCUGUGGUAUUCCGCAGGGCAUGCCUGUUCGAGCGUCAUUUCAACCCUCAAGCCUCGCUUGGUGUUGGGCCCUGCCCGCCGCGGCCGGCCCUAAAGAUAGUGGCGGCGCCGCCUGGCCCUCAGCGUAGUACAGCUCUCGCUCCAGGGUCCAGCGGCAGCCUGCCAGAACCCCCCAACUCUGUGGUUGACCUCGGAUCAGGUAGGGAUACCCGCUGAACUUAAGCAUAUCAAUAAGCGGAGGA